CACCUGUUUGGCCAACCCUAAAUAUCCAAAAGCCAUGUAUCCUCCGGCCGGCCCUUAGGCACUCAUGCGUGGUGAGACAAUGGGUGCAGCGCUGGGGUUGGCCGGGCAGAGGGGUCACACUUGCGACUCCCUCCUCCCCGGUCAUGCUGGUACCAACAUCUCUGUCUCCUCAUGGUGGGACUCCCAAGACUUGGGGCUAUGGGGGGGCAUCCGCUCCCCAGAGCGUUGGUACUGCUGGUCCCCAGCUCAGUCACAGACUCCAUGGGAUGACUCACAUAGGCCUUGGUAGACUAGGGAAACCCAUGCUGGUGUCACCAUGUUGAGGUAAUCGCCCUUGAUCACUCUGGGCCUCAGAGUUCACCUUGUAACGGGACAGUGAUACGGACUCAUCCUGUCUGGGAGUCACUCGCUUCCUCACAUGAGGGCUGUAUAAGGAGGAAGAGGGAUGUAGGGUCAUGCAUGUGGCCUAACUGCACCCUGGAUUUUCAUCUGCCCUACCGUCUGCAUCAGCAGAUCUGCUUGUUGCAGCACGUAGUGCCCAAGUAACAUCCAGGGGCAGCAGGGCCGAGCCACAUGAGGUACCAAGAGUUGGGAAAUGAAAUCGCUCCGUGACACAAAAGGGCCCGCUACGAUGCACAUUCUACAAGGAGUACCACAACCUCAACCUGUGGCAACCCUCCUCAGGCCUCUCACUGUCUUAUCUUCUAUCUCUCAUGUUACUUCUAACUAUGGACACAUUCGUGGCAUAGUAACAACUGAACUAAAGGAAGACCAUUCUAAAGGAAGAAAUCAGCUGCUUAUUUGUCAACAGAUCAUCAGCAAAUACUCUCCUGAAGACAAUGGGAACGUGAAAGGUUUUGCUGGCAUUUUGGCUCCAAAUAAUAUGACUUUCUCCACCUGCAAGCAAUAGGGCCCAUUGUUGCGUUGUGAUACAUUUGAAUGGGCCAGUAACAUACACUUAGACAAGGUUUCAAUGCUCCCUAUCUCAAUCUAUUCCCCCAAUACUCAUACUGCCAGAGUGCUUUCAUUUUCUAUUCAACUGAUGUUUUAAUAUGAUUUACUCUUGGGGCCAAUAUUGAAGGAACAUAGCUCUCCCAGAGGGUUAUAAGACAAGCAGAACACUAGAAAAGCAACUUCCCCCUCUUAGAAUACUCCAGCAGAUGCAAUCCACAGCCAGUCCUAAAGCACCAGGUUAAUCAUGAGAGACUCACAGAUCAAGGUGCCCUACAGAGAUGAAAUAUCUAUUUAGCAACAGGGCCCUGUCUCUCCCCUUCCUCCCUGAGAUCCAUGGUAUUGUCCCCCAAGAUCCUCCAGUCCCAAGGGGGAAUGUGCUUGGGGAGGAUGGGGAGAAGCCUCACCAGGCCAUGUGGCCGUAUGAUGCCAGUCCCCUCUGGUCCUGGGGCACUUGGUCAGAAAAGAUAUUCCAUCCCAGGACCCCCAUUGAGCCCUCGCCUCUACUUCACUCCCGCUCAUACCCAUCCUGGUGCUCCUAGCUGCAGCUGUGGUGAGGGGCUGUCUCCAGUGUUGUGUCUUCAGUGGGGCUCAGACUAGAACCAGUUCAAAGGUGCAGGGCCCAAUCUGGUUGGCUCCAGUAGAACAGCCAACCCCAAGUGUUCAAAAAUCAUGAGUCAGGCCCCCAAAACUGAUGAAAUUGGCUUUAAAAUACUGAGUUUUUUUAAAUAACAACAUUGGGGUUCUUAUAUAUGCCUCCUGGUUUCUGAGCCUCUAGGAGUCACUAUUCAAGCUGUUCUCUGCAACCAGGAGGGCCAGAAAUUUACCUUUUAAAAAAUGAAAGUUGAGUUCACAUGACUCCAGGAGCUGGAGCCUUAGAAAAAACAGUAGAUAUCAUGAGAGUUGGCAACACUGCUCUGGCCUUCUGCAGAUCCCCUUGGACUGGGCCCAGAUCUCUGAGGAUUUGCCCCAUGUCCAAUCAGGGAAUAUCUCUGUAGCACCAUCCUCAUUGAGAUUUCCUCCCUGGGAGCCUCCUCCUGGAAUUCCAGUGGGUGUGUCUGCAGAGUAAAGGAAGAAUGAGGGAACCAUGCAUGGAGUGGUCUUCCCACAUUUUAUUGCUCCCCAGAAAGAAAUAAAGACCCCUGUCCACCUCACCCAGUUGAGAGGCGCUGCCCUGUCAUUAUUAUUUAUGAUAGUAACAUCCAAGAACUGCAGCCAGGGAUCAGGGCCCCAUUGUGCUAGAUGCUGUACAGACAUGGAAUAAAGAAAGUAGUUCCCCCCUGCCCCUCCCCGAGAGCUCACAGUCUAGGUGUCAGUCAGACAGGAUACAACAAGUGGAUAGAAUAGGGGGUAGGGGGUUGUUUGGGAGGACAGGGUAACCAAAAGACAGAAUUUUCCCCGAGAUAUUAGAUCUCUCUCAUCAAACUCCUGUAGAUCUCAUCCUGUAUAUUUGCAUGCCUUCAUCUCUCUUCCACCCAGAGCAAAUCCUGACUCUUCCCCUAUACCAUAAAGUGACAGGCAAACAGUGUCUGCACUUUGUUGUGACUGCUACAGUUUGGAAGGAAUUGCCAUUAGCAAAGAUGGCUCAAACCAAUUUCUAGAAGCAAGUCCCGUGGGGUGAAAGCUAAAUAAUGCUGGCUACACCAUGACAACAUGUGAGCCUGGGCCUUCUUAAUACCACUGCGAAUCAAUCAGUGCUUAACAAACCAGUGGCAGCUGUAAAUAUAUUUGAUCUGUACAUGCAUUUGUCUGCUCAGUUCAUCAUCUUUCCACUUUCUAAUGUAUUUUCCUUCCAGGAACUAUAAAGAUAAAAGUGAAAUGUAAGAGAGAGGAAAACAUUCUAGGGAUGAUUGGCCAUAUUCCCCAUUCCCAACAUUUUUCAUUACCUAGACGCCCCAGAGAUUCAGUGAGGCCAGGACUCAUCAUUCUCUGCGCUUCUCUAGACACCUGUCAGUACACAACAGGAGGAAAGGGUACAGAUGUGUUCUGCAUUGCACCACAUUGAAAUAGCUCACUGUGAAGCCAGUGGUUUGUGGAGACUUCUGCCUCCUUCAGAGCUACCAUUUAACCAUAACCCAGACUCAGACUGCUAUUGCAACGGCACCUGUUAUCGCCCUCUAAUAAGACUUGGGAGAUGGAGCAGUAGUUUAUGCUUGAUUUCAUGUUCACUUCAAGCUCUGUUGUUCUCAGUUAAUAUGUGUAUAAGAUCAGAAUGAGAGAAGGGGUGGAUGGGCAGAGGGGCAGAAAAGACUCUAUUUUAAUUUGAACUCAAGGAAAGUAUAUAACAAUCUUAGUCACAUAGAAAUGCACAUGACUCGGUAAAUAUGAAUGUCUGAUCCUUUCCCACCAGUGUCUUGGGUUUGAUAAAUAAUGGAAUAUACAAACCUGAGAAAUCAAUUCACUUUUAAAUAGUGUCUAUCCAUUUAUUUUUAAAGGGGAUAGAGAGGUACUCACUGCCAGGAGGGAGGAGGCUGGGAUCUCUCAAACACCUUAGGAAGGAGAGGAAGAGGUGUGUGUGGAAAAGAGAUAGGAGGGGCAAGGGAUGGCAUCUCCCCAAGCCCUAUGAGAAAGGGAGAGAAGGGGGUGGGGAAAGUGGAUAGGAAAAGAGAGAGUGAAAUGCUGGCUGCAUUGAAAAUUUCAGCCAGAGUGACCAAAGAAGAGCACAGGCCCUGUGGGAUGGAGUGAGAGAGUAAAAGGAAAGGCAGUGGACAGAGCAGAGAAGGGAUGGGAGGACAGACAUAGACAAUAGGGGAGAGCAGACACAACAAGCUAGGAAGGGGAAGAGAAGGAUUAAAGGUCAGAGCCUGGCCAGAUCCCAUUUAUUUGAACAAGUGACUCCUGCAGUUCAACAAUUGCUCAAUUUUUGCUGCAUUGCUAUUACAGAAGUUAUCCAUAUGGUCAUUUUUUCAAUCAGUUCAUUUCACUUGUCCCAUCUUCCCGCAGAUAAUUCUAUAAUACAGGGAGGAAGUCAUUCCAUUUAUAAGCUGGAGGAGCCACUGGGUGAAUGAGAUUCAUCUGGGAUUUAACAUUUCUGUUGUUUUAUGGUCAUUUGCAACGUGUCUUUGUGUGUGCUAUAUUCCUACCUUUUGGUAGAGCAUGACUGUGUUGGUCUUCUGAUAUUCACUGCAGUAAAGGCAAUCUAAGAUUAAAGAACAUAUCUUUCUUGGUAUCCCAGAGUCACCUUAGCUUGAACAGACUUCAGCCUAGCCUCCAGGGUUGCCAG